GCAGCAGGCGCGAAAACUUUACACUGCGGGAAACCGCGAUAAGGGGACCCCGAGUGCCAGCACCUAGUGCUGGCUGUCCAGCUGUUCAAAAAACAGUUGUUAGCAAGGGCCGGGCAAGACCGGUGCCAGCCGCCGCGGUAA
rnacentral:rRNA from 1 species